GCCUCUAUGGCGUAGUGGUAACGCGUUGCACUUGUAUGUCAUUCAUACAGGAGAAAUGCAAAGAUCUCUAGUUCAAUCCUGGAUGGAGGCA